GACGGGUGAGUAACGCGUGGGUAACCUGCCUUAUACAGGGGGAGUAACAGUCAGAAAUGGCUGCUAAUACCGCAUAAGCGCACAGAGCUGCAUGGCUCAGUGUGAAAAACUCCGGUGGUAUAAGAUGGACCCGCGUUGGAUUAGCUUGUUGGUGGGGUAACGGCCCACCAAGGCGACGAUCCAUAGCCGGCCUGAGAGGGUGAACGGCCACAUUGGGACUGAGACACGGCCCAGACUCCUACGGGAGGCAGCAUG
rnacentral:rRNA from 1 species